UAUUCAUUCUUUUGUCAACUGUCAGUCUAAAAACGUUAACCUGCCUGGGUCCCGGGGUAUGGGAGCGCUAAGUCUUCCCUCCUUCAGCUGUAUAAUGAACAGACUGUUUCAUUAAUGAGACAAUUCACUCCACAAAUCCAGCCCAAACAACUUAUUUCACAAUUUGUGAGCAGAAUUAAAUUUCGGGGGAGUCGCGAGAGAGGAGUGAGAGGGAAGGGGGGGAGUAGGUGAGUCGCGCAUAAUGUACAGAGGGAUCAAUGCGGCGGGAUAAGUGUCCCAGGCAAUUUUGCCAGCCGUCCUGGGCUGAGGCUUGGGAGGCCACGGCAUGCAGAUCAGCGGAUUAGGUGGGGGGGGGGGGGCACAGCGCCAGGUCAAGUGUCUCACGGGGAGCUGAUAAACACCCCAAACCUGAGAACAGAUUUUCCUUUCUUCCACGCCACUUGGUCUUUUGGCUGUUUAAUGUUUAAUUUGGUAGGGCUUGCAAAUCCAAAGUGAAGUUUUUGAAGAUCCACUACUAAAAUGCUUGAACAGAAAAAGGCCUCCAGGAAUUGGGAUGUCAUCUACCUCUAAAUUAGAAGUCUUGGAGCCCCUCCCAAGGGUCCGUGUUGCCUGCCAUGCUGACCUUUCCCAGUUCUCCUCUGGAGUUUCCAUGCAUGAAGACCACAUUUCCUCCCAUGGAAUGUCAAGCAGCUUCUGACAGGAUAAAAGACAAACGGCUGCACCUGAACCUACUGCUGCCUUAGCUGCUGACUACACCUUGGCAGCUGCCACUUGGCUGCUGAGGCGGGCCCUGCGGGGGAGGGGGCUUCUGGUUCUACCACAACCUCUGCCGCAGCCCCAGCCGCCUUCACAUAGGGAGGCAAAUGUUGUUUGUGACCAAGUCUGUAUCUUUUUAUUUUACCAAUAAAGACUCUGGAGCCAGA